rnacentral:snoRNA from 1 species
GGGCUCUCGGGAACUGGGAGAGAUCCUGCCCCGGAAGCUGA